CUUUUCCCAGCCCGGCAAGGGGGAAAGUAUGGGAAAGCACCAGACAAUAAAUUUACACAAAAUGAGUCUUAAAACUUUGGCGGAUCGUCCGCCACGAAAAAGAAGCAAAAAAAAGUACUUAAUAAGGUGCACUACGAUUUCCUCAAGAUUUCAGGACUCUAAUUGGGUGGAAAGAAAACGGUUAGAUUGUGACACACUAUUUUAUUGUCUAACGGACACAAAGCAAGUUAUAGCCAGUAAAUCAUUAUUCUAAGCUUAAGCUAGCACCUUAAUAUGUAUUGCCAGACGGUAGAGCUGGGCCGUGCAAUAGUUCAAUUCUAAAUGAUUUACAAGCGUUCCUAAGUUCUGUUAGUCCCUAGUUAUCAGUGCCAACAUAGAUAAUAGGAAUUCUUCUUAACUAAACUAAGUAAUCUUGCCUUCCAGGAAGAAAGAAAAUGACACCAACCUUCAAGCCAGAAGUUACCGCUAAUACAAUGUGUAAGCCCUCCUUCUGCGAGCUGAAGCUGGUCGCCCCAGGCGCUGUGACACAAUGAAGCACCACCGCAACCGACGCAUCAGCAAGUUGAGAGCAUCUUCUUCGCCUGGAUAGGCUCGACCCCGGAAGCAAGCUAUCGCACCAUUCGACGCUUGUGGUAAAAUUGGAGUUGCCGGACAAACCGGCCCCCUUUAUAAAGAAGACAUUACUUGAAUGUCUGUAUAACCAGUAUAACCUGGAGUAGGCCUAAACACAGAUUUAGUUGUAAUUGUAAUUGUAAAUAUAGUUUUAAUUAUAGUUCUAGUUAUAGUUCCCAGUCAGCAGCUGGAACUUGAGAGAGCUCAUUUUCUCAGCUCUGACGACCCUUCCCUCCACAUAGUCCACCAGAAGAAAUUCAUGGUGGGAAAAUAUUCCUCCAGAAUGCCCUUAGGCUACACAAGGAUUGACCGCCAGCACUCCAUCAAUCUGAUCACUUUUUGGAUCGAAGAUGAAACUCGAUAAAUAAAAGCAGGCACUGGAGGCCUGAACAGGACCGGAGACAGCUAGCCAGUGCAGGAAAUGAUCUCAGGAGCCCUAACGACCUUGAGAGGCUUGGGGAUAACAUCUAAAAUGACCACCUCAGCAGUCCUCUGCAGAAAUAAAUUUCAACCAACUGAAAAUCCUAGUGCACAAAAUUCCAUAUAAUUUUCCAACAAUAAAGUGACUAUUUUCUGAUUUAUUAAUUACAUUUAAAUUGUUAAUUCUAAAUAAUUAAAUAUUCUGAAAAUUGUGCAUAUUUGUAUUCUGGCAACACCCUUUGUUGACAGCUGAUUCUGAUUGGAUAAUCGAACUGUCAUCCAGUAUCGAUCCAGUUGCUAGAUCACAUAAAGACCUUGCUAUGCGCAAAAAGUAAUUACGUUCGGGACAAAUUUAAAACUGCCGUUGUUAAAUUGUUAAGCUAAAAUGUGCAAUGUCACAAUACCCCUCUCCCUGCUGUAGCGUUUUACCAAGGGUAAAACGCUCGCUGUCCUCAGCGACUAGACUAACAAUGUGUCACAAAAGAAAUGAAAAAUAAGAAAAGAAACGAACACACCUCGACCAUAACGAGUAUGGGAGAAACACACAAAAGUAAACCUGUGAUGCCGCAGGUUACGAAAUAUUGCCAAAAGAAAUUCCAAAACUUACAACCUCACAAAACCAUACCAAAAAAACCAUCCCUCUAAAACAUCCUUAAAUUUUGAAUUUUAUAUUAUUUCGAACCCACGCAACACUAAAACCAGUGUGGCAUCCGAACCAUUCGGAAAAUUCCCCACUGCCAAAUGAACCAACAAACCAGUAACCAUAUCCUUGGUUUUACCAGCACAACUUCACAGUUGCGCUGGACAAACGCAAAACCAACCGCCAGGACCGAUGAUCAGCAUUCUUAAAACAUCUCCGCUAGACCGGGCAACAUAAAAUCAAAAAAAAAAAUGAUUCCCACUUCCAAGUUUACACGUCAUAAACUUGAGAAGCUCAUAAUUCAAUUCCAAAUAAAAUUCCAAUCCGAAAAUAAUUAUAAAUCCAUAAUCCAAAAUAAAUGUGACAGUUUACUAACAAAAAACCCAUUUCCGACAUGCGGUUGAAUUGGAAACAUUGUGCUGUUUCCAACUCUUCCGUAAACGUAACAAAAAAACCAUAACAAACUGUCACGCACCUUCGAGUUGGUGCAACAAAAGACUCCCACCCAACUCUCCGGAUCACAAAAUCCUACACAACUCUGAGGUUGCAACAUGCCCGAGACCUCCACCGUUUGGUUGAGACUCACCAAAAAAUAUGUAUCGCACGCCAGGCAUGAUUGGCGGCGAUACCCCAAAAACCCGUGCGCCACCCCACCGCCUCCAUGGCAUGGGAAAAGCCACACAGAACACACAAUGUACCCACCAGCGAGUACCCGAUCGACACCACAAAAGGCAAGAACCCGGUACGGAGCGCAUCCAAAAGGGGAUGCAAGAAGUAGACAGUGCAACCGCGCCCUGCCAUACCUCACCACUCCUGGGUGUGGACCUCAUGUCGACCCCAAAAUCGCGCCAACACGACGCUCGGGUGUGGUAAGCACCCGCAAAAGAAACCAUCCGAAAAACAGGUCGUAUCAAGGAUCGCUCAAACGUAAAAUGAACCAGAUUGUGUCGCCCCUUUCAUACUUCACGCAUUUCAGAGAACUGUUCCAGGAACCCUUUCAUCCCUCACACAAAACAAAAUAGUAGUGAAAACAGACUUUGCUGUUCACCACGUUCCAUACAAAAAGUCGUGAUUGAAUAUUUUCACCACAAUAUUCAACACUUCAAACGAAACAACCGAAGAGUGACACGAUAUGGCGUAAGCGAGGGCGUUAACUUUGGCGGCAAGGUGAAAGCAAAAGAAACCCGGACCUUGCGUCCAAAGAAAACCUCCACCUCAAACUUACCCAAUAACAAUCUCUAAAUCCUUGAAUACGCCACAAAACCAAAUCCAAGUUUUCACAAAAAACAAACGCCCUUAAACGAAUCUGCACGUUGCGAUACGUUUAAGUUUAAAACUGGCGCUAAAAAACACGUCGUAACCUAAAAUAAAUCCAAACAUAAAACAGAAAUACCAACAUCACAAAACGAGCGUUUAUUUAACCGCUCAAGUUACGACUCAAACUUGGAACAAAAAACACGCAUCCGAACGUACCCAUCGUUGAACUUAUUUUGUCUGUGGUCUGUGCCUUUUAAAAAAACUAAAUGUCAACAAAAUAUUCAUCGUUACCUACAAAAUUCUAAUAUCUGCUGCUUUUAUUGCUACAAAUUAAUAAAACAACACUUAAUUCAACUACAAAAUCAUGGAAAACUAACAUAAGUGUGAUAAACGUUCGAUAAUCUAAAGGAAUGACUAAAAUUUAUUCAGAAAUGCUAAUUGGAAUGCAAAUAAUUCUACUACUAACAGCAGAUUAUUAGAAACUGUCUAAAUCUUAAGAAAUAUACACCAUAAAAGCUACUUGGCACCUAGCAACAGCUACAACUGGACCACAGACUACAGGAAAUGUCUACAAAAGAAAACCAAAAUAUGAACAUCAGAGGAACAUGGGCACUGAUAAUGUGUUGAAAAGCAUAACUCCUAACGGAAACCUUCCACUUACAUGGAGGACCAACAUAAUCAUUUGCCGGAGUCCAACAACAUUGCAGCUGCCGGACACUCAAAAACUCAGACCGUUCCUGCAACUUCCAACCAUUACCGGUGUCGUCCCGGACUGAAGUCACCUGUAUAAGUUCAACGGGCACAAAAGUGAAAUUGCCACUGAAGACGCCAUUGUAUAAGUUCAAAACUCAAAAUAUUAAGUAUGUUGGCAACUGACUUACAAUAAAUAUAUAUUCUUACAAUGAUA